GUAGGGAAUAUUGGACAAUGGGCGAAAGCCUGAUCCAGCCAUGCCGCGUGAUAGAUGAAGGCCCUCUGGGUUGUAAAUAUCUUUUAUCUGGGAAGAAACUCCUCUAUUCUUAGAGGCCUGACGGUACCAGAGGAAUAAGCACCGGCUAACUCCGUGCCAGCAGCCGCGGUAAUACGGAGGGUGCAAGCGUUAUCCGGAUUCACUGGGUUUAAAGGGUGCGUAGGCGGGUGUAUAAGUCAGUGGUGAAAGCUCCAGGCUUAACUUGGAAAUUGCCAUUGAUACUGUAUAUCUUGAAUGUCGUUGAGGUAAGCGGAAUGUUGCAUGUAGCGGUGAAAUGCUUAGAUAUGUUACAGAACACCAAUUGUGAAGACAGCUUACUAAGCGAUGAUUGACGCUGAGGCACGAAAGCGUGGGGAGCAAACAGGAUUAGAAACCCCGGUAGUCC
rnacentral:rRNA from 1 species